rnacentral:rRNA from 1 species
AGUGAACGCUGGCGGUAGGCCUAACACAUGCAAGUCGAACGGCAGCACAGUAAGAGCUUGCUCUUACGGGUGGCGAGUGGCGGACGGGUGAGGAAUACAUCGGAAUCUACUUUUUCGUGGGGGAUAACGUAGGGAAACUUACGCUAAUACCGCAUACGACCUACGGGUGAAAGCAGGGGAUCUUCGGACCUUGCGCGAUUGAAUGAGCCGAUGUCGGAUUAGCUAGUUGGCGGGGUAAAGGCCCACCAAGGCGACGAUCCGUAGCUGGUCUGAGAGGAGGAUCAGCCACACUGGAACUGAGACACGGUCCAGACUCCUACGGGAGGCAGCAGUGGGGAAUAUUGGACAAUGGGCGCAAGCCUGAUCCAGCCAUACCGCGUGGGUGAAGAAGGCCUUCGGGUUGUAAAGCCCUUUUGUUGGGAAAGAAAAGCAGCAGGUUAAUACCCCGCUGUUCUGACGUUACCCAAAGAAUAAGCACCGGCUAACUUCGUG